rnacentral:rRNA from 1 species
GCGUGCCUAAUACAUGCAAGUCGAGCGGACAGAAGGGAGCUUGCUCCUGGAAGUCAGCGGCGGACGGGUGAGUAACACGUGGGCAACCUGCCCUGUAGACUGGGAUAACAUCGAGAAAUCGGUGCUAAUACCGGAUAAUCGAAGAAACCGCAUGGUUUCUUUGUAAAAGAUGGCUCCGGCUAUCACUACGGGAUGGGCCCGCGGCGCAUUAGCUAGUUGGUGGGGUAGAGGCUCACCAAGGCGACGAUGCGUAGCCGACCUGAGAGGGUGAUCGGCCACACUGGGACUGAGACACGGCCCAGACUCCUACGGGAGGCAGCAGUAGGGAAUCUUCCGCAAUGGACGAAAGUCUGACGGAGCAACGCCGCGUGAGUGAUGAAGGUUUUCGGAUCGUAAAGCUCUGUUGUUAGGGAAGAACAAGUGCCAUUCAAAUAGGGUGGCACCUUUGACGGUACCUAACCAGAAAGCCACNGCUAACUACGUGCCAGCAGCCGCGGUAAUACCUAGGUGGCAAGCGUUG